AUGGGCUUCCUCCGGUCUUGGCAAAAUUGGCGGACUCAUCGCCGACGGCACCCUCUGACAUCUGCAAGAUGUAUCGUCCACGUCUGCAGCCCCGUCAUAGCGCAUUUUUUUGCGCCUCCGGCUGUGUGCGGUUUCAUCAUCCACGACGACCACACCAUCGACCACGGCUACAUCACCAUGAUCGGCUACCUAGACAUUGACAUUGAUGACUACGUCUACAGCAACUCAUCGGCAACAACUUCAGUCAACAGCGUCCGCGUCGUCACUACCGUCCACGCCACUCCCGCUGUGACUGCGGGAGGGAAUAGAGGAGAAGGCAUGAAGGCACCAGAAGGGGACGCAGUCACCGCCCUAGGUGCCAAUCCAUCAGAGACGCAGUUGAUGAUGGCGCGGCGGAGAAGACGACGAAAGCGCAAGACUUCAAAUCCAGUCAUACUCGUCCGCUUCACUCCCGCUACGACUGAGGGGGAAUGUUAG
rnacentral:rRNA from 1 species